rnacentral:rRNA from 1 species
CCCUUAGAUGUUCUGGGCUGCACGCGCGCUACACUGAUGCGCUCAACGAGUUUAUGACCUUGCCCGGAAGGGUUGGGUAAUCUUCUUAAAACGCAUCGUGAUGGGGAUAGAUUAUUGCAAUUAUUAAUCUUCAACGAGGAAUUCCUAGUAAGCGCGAGUCAUCAGCUCGUGCUGAUUACGUCCCUGCCCUUUGUACACACCGCCCGUCGCUCCUACCGAUUGAGUGAUCUGGUGAAUAAUUCGGACUGCAGCAGUGUUCGGUCACGAACGUUGCAGCGGAAAGUUUAGUGAACCUUAUCACUUAGAGGAAGGAGAAGUCGUAACA